GACAGAGGCCUCGAGCGUUAGGCGGAAUCACUGGGUUUAAAGGGUGCGUAGGAGGGCAGGUAAGUCAGUGGUGAAAUCUCCAAGCUUAACUUGGAAACUGCCGUUGAUACUAUCUGUCUUGAAUACCGUGGAGGUGAGCGGAAUAUGUCAUGUAGCGGUGAAAUGCUUAGAUAUGACAUAGAACACCAAUUGCGAAGGCAGCUCGCUACACGAAUAUUGACUCUGAGGCACGAAAGCGUGGGGAUCAAACAGG
rnacentral:rRNA from 1 species